CGGGUGAGUAACACGUGAGCAACCUGCCCUUGACUCUGGAAUAACAGUUGGAAACAGCUGCUAAUACCGGAUAUGACCUCUGACGACAUCGUCUGGAGGUGGAAAGCUCCGGCGGUCAAGGAUGGGCUCGCGGCCUAUCAGCUUGUUGGUGAGGUAACGGCUCACCAAGGCUUCGACGGGUAGCCGGCCUGAGAGGGCGACCGGCCACACUGGGACUGAGAUACGGCCCAG
rnacentral:rRNA from 1 species